UGUGGAGGUAAGGUUGAUUUUUUUCUUUUUUCUUUUUUUCUCUCCAUAAUAUCAAAUGGUUAAUGCAAAGCUCCUAAUUUUAAUAUGUGAUUCUGUAUGUACACAGACCCAAUGAUUGAUAUCUAAUCAAUCCCUUUUGAGGUGGCUACACACGUGGACAGAGGGUGGUGCGUGGUGCACUUUAUACUGCAUGUCGGAACUGGGUUUAGUGUGGAUGGAUCCCCUGGAGAAACAAAAGGAUGGAACUACAACAUGGCUGCUGUAACUUACAAGGUGACCUCAUGGCUCAUUAAUUUUC